rnacentral:rRNA from 1 species
UACGUAGGCAGCGAGCGUUGUUCAGAGUUACUGGGCGUAAAGAGUGCGUAGGCGGUCUUCUAAGUUUGGUGUGAAAUCUCCCGGCUUAACUGGGAGGGUGCGCCGAAGACUGGAAGGCUUGAGUAUGGGAGAGGUAAGCGGAAUUCCUGGUGUAGCGGUGAAAUGCGUAGAUAUCAGGAGGAACACCUGCGGUGUAGACGGCUUACUGGACCAUAACUGACGCUGAGGCACGAAAGCGUGGGUAGCAAACAGG